GACGAACGCUGGCGGCGUGCUUAACACAUGCAAGUCGAACGGUAAGGCCCUUCGGGGUACACGAGUGGCGAACGGGUGAGUAACACGUGGGUGAUCUGCCCUGCACUUCGGGAUAAGCCUGGGAAACUGGGUCUAAUACCGGAUAGGACUCCGGACUGCAUGGUCUGGGGUGGAAAGCUUUUGCGGUGUGGGAUGGGCCCGCGGCCUAUCAGCUUGUUGGUGGGGUGAUGGCCUACCAAGGCGACGACGGGUAGCCGGCCUGAGCGGGUGACCGGCCACGGUGGGACCGAGAUGCGGCCCGGAGUCCUACGGGAGGCGGGAGUGGGGAAUAUUGCACAAUGGGCGCAAGCCUGAUGCAGCGACGCCGCGUGAGGGAUGACGGCCUUCGGGUUGUAAACCUCUUUCAGCAUCGACGAAGCGAAAGUGACGGUAGGUGCAGAAGAAGGACCGGCCAACUACGUGCCAGCAGCCGCCGUAA
rnacentral:rRNA from 1 species